AGCGCCGCCUUUCCAACCAAAUCCAGAGCAGCAUUAGAAGGUUAACUUGAGUGGUUUGAACAACGAUGUUUAAACAUGUUGCGUUUGUGCGAGCUGUAGGGCAACAAGAGCACGUCGUUGUUGCCCCUCCUCUGUCUAAAGAGUUGAAUGGCGAGUCAGCUAGGAAGUUUUACGACGAGGUUGUAUCGCAACCAUCGACGUUCGUUGACGCCGAGCCCGUAACAGCGACGGGCGCAGGCCGGGACCGUGGGAGCCAAGCUUCGCUUUGUCGGCCAGUGAAACGAGUCCAAGUCAGUGAAUACUUCACUGCGGCUCAGAGGAACGAUAUCGCCCAGCUAGAGAGAUGUCUACGUACCGGCAUCGGUGUAGACGUCACCGAUAUUUUCGGUUGGACUGCUCUCAUGUGCGCCGCUUGCGAUGGUGCCGCGGACAGCGUCCGGUACCUCCUGCAAAACGGUGCGAGCAGGUGUUUAGCAAACACGCAAGGGAAAACUGCCGUCGAACUAGCAGCACAACAUGGGCGCGUUGAAGUCGUGGAGCUGCUCCGUAAGCCCGAGAAACUCGGAAACACUGUGACCGCUCAGAGCGGCGCGGAGCGGCAGGCUGACGAUUCUAGACGUGAUCCAACGCAACUGUGUCGCGUAUGCGAUAUGCACAUCAGUUUCUCUCGACAGAACUCUCACGAAGCGUCAAUACUGCAUCAAUUUAACAUGAGUCGGGAUAGGGCACCGGGCGUGACGCAUUACGGGAUUUCUGAGAGUAACACCGGUUUCCAAAUGCUUCUCGGUAUGGGUUGGGACAGAAACAAAGGGUUCGGACCUCGGGAACAGGGACGUAAGUUUCCCGUAAAAACUGUGCUUAGGCGAAACCGUGCCGGACUUGGAGCUGAGGUCUCCACACCCAGGGUGACGCACUUUGCACCGAACGAUACAGCUGCUGUUGAAAACUGGUCGUGUCACGGGGGAGGCAAGGCAGCGUCGCUGAAAAGGAAGCGGGAAGAACAGGAGAGCCACUCUCAAAGAAUGAAACGAAUGGAGAUCGAAUUUCGUCGCUCCUUCUACUAGUUGCAGCUGAAAAACACGCCUCAAUGAAUCCAGCGACAGCACGUGUGAAGCAGUACUUGGCAGACAUAGAAUUGACUGCCGAGACAAUCCUGGCUGACAAAGAACAAGUUGUUGAGCUUGACCGACGACGACAAAAGAAUAGAGAGGCUUUAAGAGCACUGAAACAGCUGGAGGAAGAUAUCCACAGGCCUUGGGUCUGCAUCGGAAACAUGUUCAUGAAAAUUCCAAGGCAUCGAACUAAAGAGCUCCUCGAACAAGAGCAAGAAAAGCUAGAAAACGAGAUUGGUUCUUUGCGAAAGAAGCUGAAAAAGAAUGUACAGUCUCUGCGUGAAAUGGAAGGCCGGUCUGAAGUGCAGGGAUUUUCAUUGGAACCCCUCAGCCGGGAAGAGAUGCAGGCCAUCAGCCAGGCCAUGGGCCAAGGGAUGUAAAGGCAAGAAGACGCUGUUGCAAAUAAAUGGCAGUUGUUCGAGCAUAGUCGUGGCAAUAUGCAAAUGCUA